rnacentral:rRNA from 1 species
CACGUAGGGCGCAAGCGUUGUCCGGAAUUAUUGGGCGUAAAGAGCUCGUAGGCGGCUUGUCGCGUCGGAUGUGAAAGCCCGGGGCUUAACUCCGGGUCUGCAUUCGAUACGGGCAGGCUAGAGUUCGGUAGGGGAGAUCGGAAUUCCUGGUGUAGCGGUGAAAUGCGCAGAUAUCAGGAGGAACACCGGUGGCGAAGGCGGAUCUCUGGGCCGAUACUGACGCUGAGGAGCGAAAGCGUGGGGAGCAAACGGG